GGCCUCUCUUCCUGGGGCUGCAGGGGGUUUAUUUUCUCCCCAGCCUGGGCUGGAGGCCAACCCUUGAGGAUCAUUGUCAGGGCUGCCAUGAGCUGGGCAGCCUUGUAUUUCUACCUCAAUCAUUU